rnacentral:rRNA from 1 species
GAUGAACGCUAGCGACAGGCUUAACACAUGCAAGUCGAGGGGCAGCGGGGAUGUAGCAAUACAUCCGCCGGCGACCGGCGCACGGGUGAGUAACACGUAUGCAAUCUGCCCCCGGCAGGGGAAUAAGCCGGAGAAAUCCGGUCUAAUACCGCGUAACAUUCUCGGGAGACAUCUCCUGAGGAUCAAAGGAAGCAAUUCCGGCCGGGGAUGAGCAUGCGGCGCAUUAGCUGGUUGGCGGGGUAACGGCCCACCAAGGCGACGAUGCGUAGGGGUUCUGAGAGGAAGGUCCCCCACACUGGUACUGAGACACGGACCAG